rnacentral:rRNA from 1 species
CCCUUAGAUGUUCUGGGCCGCACGCGCGCUACACUGAUGCAUUCAACGAGCCUAUCCUUGACCGACAGGUCCGGGUAAUCUUUGAAUCUGCAUCGUGACGGGGAUAGGUUAUUGCAAUUAUUAAUCUUCAACGAGGAAUGCCUAGUAGGCGCAAGUCAUCAGCUUGCGUCGAUUACGUCCCUGCCCUUUGUACACACCGCCCGUCGCUCCUACCGAUUGGGUGUGCUGGUGAAAUGUUCGGAUCGGCCGUUUGUCGCGGUUUCCGCGUCAUGUGGCUGAGAAGUUCAUUAAACCCUCCCACCUAGAGGAAGGAGAAGUCGUAACA